ACGUCAGUCUGGUGAGAGCAGAGGGCCUGCUGUGGAGUGUGCGAGUGUGUGGGGGGGGGGGCAGGUGACAUCAGCAGGAGAGUGGGAAACGAUCAUUUCACAGGAGCGGAGGAGACAGCAGCAGCCACACACAGCACACACACGUGCGCUCGCACGAACGCACUCAUACGGACAGCGUGCCCGGCAGAGGAGCUUCCGUGGUCGCCUCUAUCAGGCACUGCACACUGGGGAUUCUGACACACACUGUAAACAAAGCCCUGCCUGUCAACACUGGACAUCAGGGCAGAGCCACAGAGCAGUACGAGCUCCGCCUCUGAGCCGCGGCUGCGACCACAUCGCCGGCGGCCUUAAUUGGACAGCAGAGAGGAGCAGGACUGAGGAGAUGUGAGAUCAGAGACGUCCUCCAGCAUGUCGAAUCCUGAGAAGUGGGUCACCCUGAGUCCGGCGGAGUUCUCCCAGCUCCAGGAGUACACACAGUAUUCCAGCAAAAAGCUGAAGGAUGUUCUGCAGGAAUUUUAUGGUGAUGGACUGCUGGCCAAGUACAAUCCAGAGGAGAAGCAGGACAUACUCAAUCAGGACAUUGACUUCGAAGGCUUCAAGCUCUUCAUGACGACCUUCUUGGAGAACGAGCUCACGGAGGCCUUCUGUCAGCAGCUUUUCCUGUCGUUCAGUGACAAGGCCGCCAAACCCAGUCCAUCCGCUCCCGAUAGGGCGAAAGUCACUGGUAUCAAACUCAUCAAAGGUAAUUCCACUCCUCAGAAGGGCCCUCAGUCGCUGAGGAUGAAUUCCCUGGACACAGUCAAACUGAAAGACAUCGUAUGUUACUUGUCCCUGUUGGAAGGCGGACGACCGGAAGAUAAACUCGAAUUUAUGUUCCGCCUGUAUGACGCUGAUGGAAACGGCUCCCUGGACAGCUCGGAAUUAGAACAUAUAAUCUCUCAGAUGAUGCAUGUCGCCGAAUAUCUUGAAUGGGACGUCACAGAGCUGAAGCCGAUCCUACAGGACAUGAUGCAGGAAAUUGACUAUGAUCAGGACGGCACGGUUUCUCUUGAGGAGUGGAUCCAGGGUGGCAUGACAACCAUCCCCCUGCUUGUGCUGCUCGGCUUGGAGACGAAUGUGAAAGAUGACGGACAGCAUGUCUGGAGGCUGAAGCAUUUCAACAAGCCAGCUUACUGCAACCUUUGCCUGAACAUGCUGAUUGGGCUGGGUAAACAGGGUCUCUGCUGCUCCUUCUGCAAGUACACGGUCCACGAGCGCUGCGUAGCUAGAGCUCCGCCCUCUUGUAUCAAAACUUACGUCAAGUCGAAGAAGAACACAGAGGUAAUGCACCACUUCUGGGUAGAAGGAAACUGUCCGACCAAAUGUGACAAGUGCCACAAAAACAUCAAGUGCUACCAAGGUCUCACUGGACUUCACUGUGUGUGGUGUCAAAUCACUCUCCACAAUAAGUGCGCGUCCCACAUGAAGCCAGAGUGUGACUGCGGCCCUCUCCGGGACCACAUACUGCCCCCCACCACCAUCUGCCCCGUCGUCCUGGAAAGGCAGUCUACACUGAGGAAAGAUUGCAGAGCAAACCAAUCAGGAGGCAGAGGAAAGAUGCAGCGAGCCAAUUCUGUGACCGUGGAUGGGCAAGGACUUCAGAUCACAGCAGCAGAGGGCACCCGCCCGCUGUUGGUGUUCGUCAAUCCGAAGAGCGGAGGGAAGCAGGGAGAACGAAUAUACAGGAAAUUCCAGUACUUGUUAAACCCCCGCCAGGUGUACAACCUCGCCAAAAACGGACCCAUGCCGGGGUUGAAUUUCUUCCGAGAUGUUUCUAGUUUCAGAGUCCUUGCCUGCGGUGGUGAUGGCACAGUUGGGUGGAUUCUUGAUUGCAUCGAUAAAGCCAACUUGGAGAAAAAUCCCCCUGUGUCCGUGCUUCCUCUUGGCACAGGAAAUGACCUCGCACGAUGCCUGAGAUGGGGAGGAGGUUACGAGGGAGGGAGUCUUUUGAAGAUCCUGAAAGAGAUCGAGAACAGUUCAGAGGUGCUGCUGGACCGCUGGAAGAUUGAUGUCCAUCCCAGUGACAAAGAGGAGAAGGGCGACCUCGUGCCUUACAGCAUUAUCAACAAUUACUUCUCUAUCGGAGUGGACGCCUCCAUUGCCCACAGAUUCCACGUCAUGCGGGAGAAGCAUCCCGAAAGGUUCAACAGCAGGACCAAGAACAAGCUGUGGUACUUCGAGUUCGGGACUUCUGAAACAUUUUCUGCCACCUGUAAGAAGCUGCACGACUUCGUGGAAGUGGAGUGCGACGGUAUCCAGCUGGACUUCAGCGACAUCUCCCUUGAGGGAAUCGCCAUCCUGAACAUCCCAAGCAUGCACGGCGGUUCCAACCUAUGGGGGGAGACCAAGAAGAGGCGGAGCCACCGGAGAAUUGGAAAAAAACUCGGCGACAAGCAGACCCCCCUGACUGACCCCAAAGAGCUCGUUUUUGCUGUUCAAGACCCGUCAGAUCACCUUCUGGAGGUUGUGGGCCUGGAGGGGGCCAUGGAGAUGGGGCAGAUCUACACGGGGCUGAAGAGCGCCGGCAGGCGCCUUGCGCAGUGCACUUCCGUUAUCAUCAGGACCAGAAAAUCCCUCCCCAUGCAGAUUGACGGAGAGCCUUGGAUGCAGACGCCCUGUACCGUGAGUCCUUCCGGAGCAAAAAGAAACAAUUGCAAUCAAACAACAGAAAUGUCAUUCAUUAUGAUGGUACCCAUUGUUUGUCUUGGCAAUGCAUUACUCAAUACCUGUCACUCAUUUACAGCACCAUAACAGUGGCAUUCUAAACCAUCGCUUGGUGUUACACAAGUAUAAAUCUGCCAAACAACCCUGUUGUAUGUUUUAUUGAAUUCUUUUUUAAAGGAUCACACUUCAUUUGUGAUAAUUAAAAUUUGUUUGGUUCUAAUUGGGAUGCACGUUCCCCGAGAGUGCCGUCUCUGCACAGGAUACAUAUGGCUUGUUCACUAGUUGCCUGACAGUCUGCGGCAUGACAGCGGUAUUCAUUUGAGGCACACUUGUACCUGUUAGCAAAAAUGCAAUUAAUUUCAGUGACAUGUACCUGCAGUCUCGUUAUUUCCAUGGUGACUUAAGAACCGAAGGGAAACCUGAAUCGGCCAACCUUCCGAACACUUAGAAACACCACAAUUAAAAUGGGCUGCUAUCAGACUAAUUAUUAGCAAUGGCGGUUAUGCAAAUUGCGCUCAAUUUUAGGCACGCAGACAACUUUUAAUGCCGCUGUUCUCAUUUACACAUGUAACAGUUUCGUUGACGGUAUUGUUUGCGAAUCUGAGUGUGAACUGCAGCCUACUGACUACAUAACAACUGAAUGUUUUUCCAAAAAAAGAAAAUCUGAAAAGGGAAGGCAAUUUGUCAUAAGAGGCUCAUAAUUAAGGUAGAGCAGAACAAUUUAUUGCAACAACAUUUCCCAUUACUCUAUCGCCAGCAUCUAUUAAUUCAGCAGAAAUACAGGUGAAUUGAAAUUAGCUGUUGAAUAUUGAAAAACUCAGACAAAGUCAGACAAAACUAAUAAUAUACAACCAAUCACUGAAUUUACCUUUUGAAUCAAUAAUAUCUAUCUAUCUAUCUAUCAUCAUAAUUAUAUAUUGUACAAACCCCUGUACCUUAUGUCACAGUUUGGCUCAAAACACAGCUACAUAAACACCCCAAACCAAAACACCAGCAGAACAAACCAGAAAUGCAACAGGAGUUGCCGUAAUGUUAGUUGAUAGUCACUGUGCAGCUUGUUUUUGUUUAAAAUAAUUAACUGGCAGCAAUAAAGAAAACACAUCGCUCAGUCAGACCGCUGACUCCAGAAGGCCUCUGGGAAUGCUGUGUGAUAUGGCCAAAUUCUGUCACAAUUCAUUAAAGCAAGACCCCACGUGCUUCUGACCGGGCAUGAAUUGUGUGGCGCUGGAGGGGCUGACCGAGCCUCCGCUGCCCGUCAUUUGUUUGCCCCCCUCCUCGGGCCCCGAGAGACACGCUCCAGCGGAUGACGGUCUUCCCAGCAUGAUCGUAAUUUUACCGACUCAGUUAAGAUUGAAAUAAUGCACAAGAACCAGGCGCCCAUGCUGAUGGCCCCCCCACAAAAGAGUGGCUUCUUCACCUCCGUCGUUCGGAAGUCCCGGAGCGAGAGCAGAGAGUAGAGGGACUGCGCCAAGGUGCAUUAUCCCACCACCCCCACGGUGAAGAGGAGAGCGGCCAUUAUUGUACAGCGUCGGUGGGGGGGGGGCUUACGACCCUCCAGUGUAGCCAGUGUCAGCAUUACUGUUGGGCACCAGCUUAAUUUAACAGCCGCUAUGGCCCUCGCGCCCCGCCAACAAGUGGGCUCCCAUUCCGCAUCUGCAGCCUUUGCCAAAACGCCUGCAUGAGAAUCGCGUUUACGGGCGUGUCUGCCAUUGCCUGAAGAUCGAGGCUACCUGCGCAACAGACAGAGGUUAAUUUAUGGGCUGAAAUCCUCCAAAGAGGAUGGAGAAAUGGGGAUGAGAUGACAGCAGGUGAUCUGGGGCAACACCCGCCUCUAGUUAUUUGUGGUAAAUUAAGCUUCACAGAGCUGCAGUUCAUAGAAGAUGAACUACCUGACGCAGAUUGUUACAUUUCUGUGUGGAUCUUGUUUUUUCAGCCUCUUGUUUAAGUUUUCGUCUCUGAAAGAAAUACUUUUGGCGUUAAAGUGUGGUUGUAUUUGCAAUGUAAUAUGUUGAAGCAUCUCUCACCCACAGACAUUCUUCCAGAGUUUUCUUUUCUGGGCGGAAGCUCUGUUUUUCAAAGGCCUGUAUUGUUUGGCUGUUGCACUCUCUCAGAGAAUAACCACCUGCGUGGUUCAGAAAUUCUGAAAUGCUGAAGUUUGGGAGUCGCAGGCGCAUGAAUUAAAACGUCACAAAGCCGAGUCUCUCUUACCGUGUUUUAUUUGCUGUUUCAUCCACACAGAUGGACAUAACGUGUCAAAAUGCGCUUUUAAAAUUGCAUUUACUGCUUCUGUUGAGGUGUCUCCAUGUGAACGCUGUGUGUUACAGUACGAUGAUCGGGAAACGGCAUUAUCUGCCUCCGUCGGGGAUGAUCAUUUAACUGCCAUCAUUCCACUGCAAAGAUAUUACUUCACAGGUUCACCGAGAUCCAAAUGUGCGUAUUGCACUCAAAAUUUCUUGAGAUUUUUGAUAUUCCGGGUCUUUUUAAAUGUGACAAUGAGAAGAAGCAUUUUUGUGAUGAUGCCAUUAAUUUAAGCUUUAAUCCACGAAUGAACAUUUCCGUCCUGUUUUUUGAGAAGGCAGUUUCAAAUUUUAAAACGGAAAUACCGUCAUUGUAUGCUAUCCUGCAUUAAUAUUCUGCCUGUUUUUAUUCAUUUUCGUAAUAGUCCUGUAAGAAUGUGGGCACGUACUGUAUACAGUAUAUACAUCAAUAUUUAAGGAGAACACACGCCACGUAAAUCCCAUAAUUACACUGAAUCAGCAGUCCUAUAGAAAUCAUUAUAUUGACUCAUCUGCAUGCUUUAUUCUGCAAUUUGCAUGCUGUUGCAUGGAGGCCACAGAACACAAGCAAAGCCCAUUAAGGGUCCCUAACCUUCACUGAUAAGUGUUUGUUCAGUCUCUCAUCGAAGCCCCUCUCUGUGCUUUGUGACCAAAGUCUACAUUUACAUAAGUUGACACAAAACAAUAGAAAUGUAAAUCGCUCACAAAUAUACCGAUCUUUAAUUCAAAGUGCUUGAUUGGGCCUGGCACCGAUACUGACCACGCUUGUAUUAUUAAGAAAAACCACUGGGCCAAUCUCCACCCCCCUCCUAUGUUUUGUCUCCAGCUGUGGUUUCUCUGCUCAGUUCCCUGUUGUCCUCUGGGAAUGCCCCAGUAUCAUUCACAAUAAACAAUAGCUGGCGGGCAAAUCUUAUUUUUCCUGCACGUCUUAUUGCUUUAUGUUUUUAGUGCCGUGUUUGCACACUUACAGUAGGCACACAUGUAAUCACGUUCAGGCCCUGAGUCUGACUUGGACAAUAUCACACAGUUCUAACCUAAUUCUAAGACACACUGGUGAUGAUGACUCGUGUUCACACACAGCUGAUCUUUGAGACUCCUGGAUCACUCAUGUUCAUGUGUUGUUACCUAUAAUUUUACGCGCAUGAAUAUUUUAAGAAUGCUGUACUGGUUUUUCUAGGGGCUUAUUUGAGGAACAGAUUCUUUGGCAUCGUUUACAAAGAUUGUUUUGGGUUUCAUGCAUUUAGUAGAGGUCUUGCCUUUAAAUUAGUCUUGAAUUUGAAGCCCGGAGAUAUUUAUUGAUAUUUAAUUUGAGUUCUGUUACUGGUUCUGUUGUAUACGCCUCUGAGAACUGUUACUUGCCCUCUGGUUUUCACUGCAAGAUGAUAUAUACAUAACAUGCAAUUAGGUGUCAGUUUAUUUGUGUAAUAAAUGUGUGAUAUAUAUUUUGAAGUAUUGCUAUUCUGAGAGUGUGGUGUUGUAUUUUCUUGUUGUUUCAUACCAUUUUGAACCAUUUUUCCUUAUAUUGUGGGAUGUCACAUGCAUUAAACCCUAAUUGCAGUUAAA